CGCACGGGUGAGUAAGGUAUAGUUAAUCUGCCCUACACAAGAGGACAACAGUUGGAAACGACUGCUAAUACUCUAUACUCCUGCUUAACACAAGUUGAGUAGGGAAAGUUUUUCGGUGUAGGAUGAGACUAUAUAGUAUCAGCUAGUUGGUAAGGUAAUGGCUUACCAAGGCUAUGACGCUUAACUGGUCUGAGAGGAUGAUCAGUCACACUGGAACUGAGACACGGUCCAGACUCCUACGGGAGGCAGCAGUAGGGAAUAUUGCGCAAUGGGGGAAACCCUGACGCAGCAACGCCGCGUGGAGGAUGACACUUUUCGGAGCGUAAACUCCUUUUCUUAGGGAAGAAUUCUGACGGUACCUAAGGAAUAAGCACCGGCUAACUCCGUGC
rnacentral:rRNA from 1 species